rnacentral:rRNA from 1 species
GAUGAACGCUAGCUACAGGCUUAACACAUGCAAGUCGAGGGGCAGCAUGGUCUUAGCUUGCUAAGGCUGAUGGCGACCGGCGCACGGGUGAGUAACACGUAUCCAACCUGCCGUCUACUCUUGGCCAGCCUUCUGAAAGGAAGAUUAAUCCAGGAUGGGAUCAUGAGUUCACAUGUCCGCAUGAUUAAAGGUAUUUUCCGGUAGACGAUGGGGAUGCGUUCCAUUAGAUAGUAGGCGGGGUAACGGCCCACCUAGUCAACGAUGGAUAGGGGUUCUGAGAGGAAGGUCCCCCACAUUGGAACUGAGACACGGUCCAAACUCCUACGGGAGGCAGCAGUGAGGAAUAUUGGUCAAUGGGCGAUGGCCUGAACCAGCCAAGUAGCGUGAAGGAUGACUGCCCUAUGGGUUGUAAACUUCUUUUAUAAAGGAAUAAAGUCGGGUAUGCAUACCCGUUUGCAUGUACUUUAUGAAUAAGGAUCGGCUAACUCCGUGCCAGCAGCCGCGGUAAUACGGAGGAUCCGAGCGUUAUCCGGAUUUAUUGGGCUUAAAGGGAGCGUAGAUGGAUGUCUAAGUCAGUUGUGAAAGUUUGCGGCUCAAC